CAUAUUUGAUAAGCGCACAGUGUUUGGAGAAUUUUACCAUCUAGUACAGGAGCUGCGCGAGUCCGACUCAGAAUACCACUUCCAAUAUUUCAGGAUGACGAAGGCUUCAUUCGACGAGCUGCUCGGACUCGUCCACGACCGUCUUGUACACUCGCCCACACAUCGCUCUCCCAUCUCGCCCGCUGAGCGGCUGGCCAUCACACUGAGGUUCCUUGCAUCACCAGGAUCUC